rnacentral:rRNA from 1 species
AUUGAACGCUCGCGGGAUGCUUUACACAUGCCAGUCGAACGGCAGCGCGGACUUCGGUCUGGCGGCGAGUGGCGAACGAGUGAGUAAUGUAUCGGAACGUGCCCAGUAGCGGGGGAUAACUACGCGAAAGGGUAGCUAAUACCGGAUACGCCCUACGGGGGAAAGCAGGGGAGGGUAAGAACUUGGACUAGGGGAGCGGCCGAGAUCGGAUUAGCUAGUUGGUGAGGUAACGGCUCACCAAGGCGACGAUCCGUAGCUGGUUUGAGAGGACGACCAGCCACACUGGGACUGAGACACGGCCCAGACUCCUACGGGAGGCAGCAGUGGGGAAUUUUGGACAAUGGGGGCAACCCUGAUCCAGCCAUCCCGCGUGUGCGAUGAAGGCCUUCGGGUUGUAAAGCACUUUUGGCAGGAAAGAAACGUCGCGGGCUAAUACCCCGUGGAACUGACGGUACCUGCAGAAUAAGCACCGGCUAACUACGUG